AUACGGAGGGUGCGAGCGUUAUCCGGAUUUAUUAGGUUUAAAGGGUGUGUAGGCGGGAGCCUAAGUCAGUGGUGAAAUCUCACAGCUUAACUGUGAAACUGCCAUUGAAACUGGGUUUCUUGAGUAUAGUUGAGGUAGGCGGAAUGUGUAAUGUAGCGGUGAAAUGCAUAGAUAUUACACAGAACACCGAUUGCGAAGGCAGCUUACUAAGCUAUUACUGACGCUGAUGCACGAAAGCGUGGGUAGCAAACAGGAUUAGCAACCCGGGUAGUCC
rnacentral:rRNA from 1 species